UACAAAAAGGACACUUUGGAACAGGGCCAC
rnacentral:piRNA from 2 species